rnacentral:rRNA from 1 species
UACGUAGGGUGCGAGCGUUGUUCGGAAUUACUGGGCGUAAAGGGCUCGUAGGCGGCCAACUAAGUCAGACGUGAAAUCCCUCGGCUUAACCGGGGAACUGCGUCUGAUACUGGAUGGCUAGAGGUUGGGAGAGGGAUGCGGAAUUCCAGGUGUAGCGGUGAAAUGCGUAGAUAUCUGGAGGAACACCGGUGGCGAAGGCGGCAUCCUGGACCAAUUCUGACGCUGAGGAGCGAAAGCCAGGGGAGCAAACGGG